CGGGAAAUGACAGAAAUAAAUGUUCGAAACUCGAGACAUCUAUGGGAUCUUAUUGUUGAAAGAGCUCUAUCAGGAGAGAGAUAUGCCAUGGAGCACUGUGAAGACUGUCAUCUACACGUGAAGAAAAGGUGACAUCACCAAGACUAGGAUCUGAACAUUCUAAGUGAUGUGUUUGUUGCAAAGGACCCCAUACCUUUGCUGAAACGUGGUGAUGGCAGCGUCGUGCUCUGGGGCUGCUGCUCUUCAGCUGGGUAUCUGGCUGGCUGCAGAUAUCAAGAUGUUUUGAGAAAAAAACCCUGUUCCCUGCCCCCCAUCAGAAAGCUGAAGAUAAAGAGGAAUUUCAGUCUAACAUGAUAUUGAAGUCUUUAUGUGACCCAAUCAGACGCCAGGCUUCAAUCCCAUAGAAAACCUGUGGAAUGACUUUAAAAAGGCUGUUCACAGGAGACACCUUGGCAAUUUAAAGCAACCUCCACUUUUUUGCAAAGAAAACUUAUUCGCAACAAUUUCCUGCUGUAAUAAAUGUGAGAUGUUCUAAAUUUUAA